rnacentral:rRNA from 1 species
UAAGUACCGGAAGGAGCGGAAAGACAUUGGCUUCCGUAAGUAGCGGCGUGCGAUCGCGGAUUAGCCCAAACCAUUAAAGUGUUCUAGAUUGGGGUUGCGGACAUAUCAUAACGAAGAGGUAUCGUAAUUGAAGAGGUUGGGAAAGACCCACCACAUGAGGUAAUAGUCCUGUAUGUUAAACGAGAAGACUUUAGAUAUGAUCCAGAGUACUACGGGACACGUGAAACCCUGGGGGAAGCAGGAGGGACCACCCUCCAAGGCUAAAUACUACCUAGUGACCGAUAGCGUAUAGUACUGUGAGGGAAAAGAGAAAAGAACCCCGGGAGGGGAGGGAGAAAGAACCUGAAACACUGCACUUACAAGCUGUGGAAGAAGAUUUCUUGUGUGACCGCGUACUUUUUGUAGAACGGUCCAACGAGUUACGUUAAGUAGCAAGGUUAAGCACUUAAGGUGCGGAGC